rnacentral:lncRNA from 1 species
GAUGAUGUUAAAUAGAAACAGAUGGGUUGAAAAUGGAAGGAUUUGUCAUAAUUACGACUAUUACCUUUAUUUUUUAAAAAUGGGCAUUUUGUAACAUUCCUUCAGGAAGAAUGGAAGUGUGUAUGUUUUUCUGCAUGUGUGUGAGCACUGUGAGUCUUACAAGAUUACUGCAGUUUUCAGUGAUUUUCAGAGUAAAAGUCAAUCAACAUGUUAUUUAUCAUUUAGGACUUGAACACUGGAUUGUGCAUGGUUGAAUGUCUUUAGUCCACUACAAAAUGUGCUUGAUAUUGAUAGAAUCAUGCUGAAUUGUAUAUUUUCAAAAUUAGCUCAUGUGUUUUUAAAAUGUUGAGACCAAAGUAGUAUAGAAGAGUAUGACGUAUUUUAAUUUAAUUGUAAAAUUAUUAGAGGUAUUUGUUUUAAAACUAUAUUAAAGAAAAGUGUUGGUGCAUAUAGAACAGUACCAUUAUUGUUAUGCUCGUAUUUCUGCAUCCCAGGGCAAGUAAACCCUGAGGAACCCUUGUCUUCGAGUAGCUACUGGGGCUGCAGCUGCUCCCGAGGAUGCACCAGCGUCCCACUAUGAUUACAGCUUCCUGGUUCAUGUUUCAGCUGUUGCAGAAUUUCAGCCAAGUUACUUUUUUUCCUUAAGUACGUUGAAAAAGCUUUUUUUUUUCCUUCUUCGGUAACUCACAGUCUGUUCUUUGUGGCCAGCACCUAUUUAUAAAGUCUUAAGUAACACUACUUAAAGGAGCCAAACACAGAGCUCUUCUUGGUACUGUUAAGCAUGAGUAGCAGUAGUUGGCUUUCAUUGAUGCAAUUCUCCUAUCUCAGAAUUUUAAAUAAUGACCAUAGGAAAAGUCAGUGGCAAGUGUACAGUAGUCUUCUUGUGUACUAAGGAAAUGAAUGAAUUUUAAUCUAAUAAAUGGAUGAUUUGUGGAUUAAAACUAGGCAGUAAAUAUAAAGGGUAUUUGUUUGACUUGUAACUUACAAAUGUAAAUUUCCCUUAGCCCCAGUUUUCAAUUUUUUUUUUCUUAAAUAUUUCAAAAUGAGUUGACUUGGUGAUUCAUGACCUUGGUUGCAUGUUAGAAUGCCCUGCAGAUCUUAAAACUCAUCUAGGUCCCUUCACAUACAGCUGAUUCAUAAUCAUUUCUUUGUGAUUGACAUUUCAUAUGACAGUGUCUACCCUCUAUUGUCUUCAGAGGCUCAUUCUGACACCCAAGCUUCAGAAGCACUAGCCCAUGGACUUUCUGAUUAUACUGGACUCUGUUUGAAAGUACAUUUAAUCUGAAGCUAUUUAACGAUUGAUUCUACUCCUUAGUAUCUUUUUAUGGGCUUAAGAAGUAUUUGGCAGUCCUUUUUUUUUUUUUUUUGGAGAAUCUCUACAUAGUUCUGGCUGUCCUGGAGCUCUCUCUGUAAACCAUGCUGGCUUUUGUAUUCCCUUUUCUUGUUCUUUAAAAAAUAAGACCUACCAGUAAUUCAAUUGUAAAAUCUUAUUAGUGUUUCUCCUUCUGUCCCCUUUACCUUUAAAAAAAAUUGCAGGUUAUCAUUUGAAAGAGCAUGUUUAAGCAUCGCCGAUGUGAAAGCACUAUGAGGAAUGAAUCUGUGCCGUCUAGAUAUGGCUCCUUUAUCAUUACUGUUCUACUACAUGGAUGGAGUCCUGUUCUGUAGGGUCUCACUUUUUAAGAUCAUCUUCCUGUUGUAAAAGUUUAAGGCAUUUUGCUCAAGUACUUUGUUUACAAUUAAAAUGAAUAGAACUUAAUAGAAGAUAAGGUUAUGGCUUACUGGAAAGCAUCAGCAUGACUUGGUAUAGACUUAAAAGAGUACAUGUGAUUAUACUGUGGAAUGAUUAUUGAUAUAUAAGGACUCUAGUAAUUGUACCUCCUGAAUAAAUGUCCGUUUGCGCAUUUUCUAACUUACAGUCCAUUGUCUGUUCUGGCAACAAUCUCGCUUUGUAGUUUUACUCUCCAAAAUUCAUGAGUAGUGUUUCUUCAAAGGUUGUUGAAGUAAUAAUAGUUACAUAAUGGGGGAAAGUCAUUUGAUUAUUAAUUUUCAAGAAGUUUUAAACUAAUUUGUAACUGGACGUGGUUUUUAAAAAUAUUGGCAAAGAUUUGAUACACUUGUACUCUUUUUAGUUUGAGAAAAUUAUUUGGAAUGUGAAACAGUGCUUUUUCAAUAGAUGAAUCAUUUAGCAAUUAAAUUCUGACUCUAAGGCUUAUUUAAAAUAUAUUUGUAUGAGUCGUGUUUGUCCUUUGCAUUUGACAAAAUUGAUACAAUUACAAGUUGAACGCUGUAUGUAAAAUAACCGUUACAUAAAGUAAAAAGCAAACUCCGUGGUGGUUCCUGAAAUGAGACUUCAGAUUUCUGUAUUUUGUUUGCCUUUCAUAAACUAUAACUAAACCAA